rnacentral:rRNA from 1 species
GACGACGCUGGCGGCGUGGAUUAGGCAUGCAAGUCGAACGGUAUCAUCCUUCGGGGGUGAGAGAGUGGCGAACUGGUGAGUAACACGUAGGUUAUCUACCCUCAAGACGGGGACAACCCAGGGAAACUUGGGCUAAUACCGGAUGUGAGCAACUUUUAGUUGUUUGAAAGGUGGCGUAAGCUGUCGCUUGGGGAUGAGCCUGCGUCCUAUUAGUUAGUUGGCGGGGUAAAGGCCCACCAAGGCGAUGAUAGAUAGGCGGCCUUAACGGGUGGUCGCCCACACUGGGAUUGAGAUACGGCCCAGACUCCUACGGGAGGCAGCAGUCGAGAAUAGUCUACAAUGGCCGAAAGGCUGAUAGUGCGACGCCGCGUGAACGAAGAAGCCCUUCGGGGUGUAAAGUUCUUUUAUAUGUGAGCAGUGCUUUCUAUGUGAACAGCAUGGGGAGAGAGAUAUUAGCAUAUGAAUAAGCAACGGCUAACUCCGUG